UCUCAAAUAGUUUAUUAGAACAUUUUAUUGAAGAUAAAAAGGUAUUUUUGAGAA
rnacentral:tRNA from 1 species